AUUGAACGCUGGCGGCAGGCCUAACACAUGCAAGUCGAACGAGUGGCGGACGGGUGAGUAAUGUCUGGGAAACUGCCUGAUGUAGGGGGAUAACUACUGGAAACGGUAGCUAAUACCGCAUACCAUCAGAUGUUCCCAGAUGGGAUUAGCUAGUUGGUGGGUUAACGGCUCACCAAGGCGACGAUCCCUAGCUGGUCUGAGAGGAUGACCAGCCACACUGGAAAUGAGACACGGUCCAGACUCCUACGGGAGGCAGCAGUGGGGAAUAUUGCACAAUGGGCGCAAGCCUGAUGCAGCCAUGCCGCGUGUGUGAAGAAGGCCGUCGGGUUGUAAAGUACUGUCAGCGGGGAGGCGUUACCCGCAGAAGAAGCACCGGCUAACUCCGUGCCAGCCGCCGCGGUAAUUC
rnacentral:rRNA from 1 species